UACAGAGGUCUCAAGCGUUGUUCGGAUUCAUUGGGCGUAAAGGGUGCGCAGGCGGCGGGGCAAGUCGGACGUGAAAUCUCGGGGCUUAACCCCGAAACUGCGUUCGAUACUGCCUUGCUUGAGGACUGGAGAGGAGACUGGAAUUCCUGGUGUAGCAGUGAAAUGCGUAGAUAUCAGGAGGAACGCCAAUGGCGAAGGCAAGUCUCUGGACAGUUCCUGACGCUCAUGCACGAAGGCCAGGGGAGCAAACGGG
rnacentral:rRNA from 1 species